ACGCCCGUGGCUCAACUGGAGAGGGCACCUGCCUACGAAGCAGGAGGUUGCAGGUUCAAAUCCUGCCGGGCGUG
rnacentral:tRNA from 1 species